UUGAGACUGAGAGAGAACUGAAGCUGGGGUCCCUGGACUAACACGGUCUAGUCAGGAUUUCCCGAGCAGCUGCUGACAAGCCCCAAGGGACUGUUCCAGCGUCGCUGAUGCUUGCAUCGGGCGCCGCACACAGAGGCCCCAACAACGGAAAGCAAGUGGUGCUGGGACCCCACAGACCAGUUGAAGGUGGCUUCUUGUGGACCUGCUUUCCCGACUCUGAGGACCCUGGGGACAGUCCUGGGCCUCUGCCCCCAGGUGCAGCCAAAGGAAGCAGAACUCCAUCUGGCCACACUUGUCCUGUGUCACCACCCACCAGAAACCUGCAAUUUCACCUCAUUUAGAGUGAUGGCCAGGGCUUGGAUUGCCUUUGGGGGUUUCAGAAAUAGCUCCCUUGGUAUGGCCUGAGAGGAACUGGUAAAUCAGACCCGGAUGAGAAUGAGCCUAAACAGGAGGGGCGGAUGACCCAGAAGAACGCCUGGAACCAGACUGUCUGACCCAGAGGGCGCCCAAGGGAGCCAACCUCUCAUUUUACCGAACACUCACACGAUUUGCCUGGAAGAGCAAAUAGAACUGAGCUCCUCCCCAGCUGAGCGGAUCCACGGCUCCACCAAAGCCCUGCACUGGGGCUGCCCCAGGGCCUCUGCACUGCCAGCUCCUGUGCCCCCCGGAUCUUUUCUUGAAGCCUCCUCUAAGCCUUCAGGUCUCAUGGCUGAGGUCACUUCUUGCCAGAGGCCAUCCUUGAGCAAGUCCUGGCUGAAGAAGCCUCAUCCCACAUUUUGCCAACGUCCUCCCGUGGACUUGUUGCAGGCCAAGGCUCAUUAUAUAUUUCACAAGAAUUUCUGCUCCCAGACUGGACCAUUUCUGUCCCAUGCACACCUCCGCACAUGCCUCCUAGUGACUGAAUAGAUAUGUCUGAGAUCUU